CCUACGGGAGGCAGCAGUGGGGAAUAUUGCACAAUGGGGGAAACCCUGAUGCAGCGACGCCGCGUGAGUGAAGAAGUAUUUCGGUAUGUUAAGCUCUAUCAGCAGGGUAGUAAAUGACGGUACCUGUUUAAGAAGCCCCGUCGAACUACGUGCCAGCAGCCGCGGUAACACGGAGGGGGCCAGCGUUAUCCGGAUUUACUGGGUGUAAAGGGAGUGUAGACGGCAGCACAAGUCUGGAGUGAAAUGCCGGGGGUUAACCCCGGAACUGCUUUGGAAACUGUGCAGCUAGAGUGCAGGAGGGGUAAGUGGAAUUCCUAGUGUAGCGGUGAAAUGCGUAGAUAUUAGGAGGAAAACCAGUGGCGAAGGCGGCUUACUGGACUGUAACUGACGUUGAGGCUCGAAAGCGUGGGGAGCAAACAGGAUUAGAUACCCCAGUAGUC
rnacentral:rRNA from 1 species